GGUGUAGGGUUGAAAGAUGGUUUCGGCUAUCACUUUAGGAUGGACCCGCGGUGCAUUAGUUAGUUGGUGAGGUAAAGGCUCACCAAGACCGUGAUGCAUAGCCGACCUGAGAGGGUAAUCGGCCACACUGGGACUGAGACACGGCCCAGACUCCUACGGGAGGCAGCAGUAGGGAAUCUUCCACAAUGGACGAAAGUAUGAUGGAGCAAACGCCGCGUGAGUGAAGAAGGUUUCGGAUCGUAAACUCUGUUGUUGGAGAAGAAUGUAUCUGAUAGUAACUGAUCAGGUAGUGACGGUAUCCAACCAGAAAGCCACGGCUAACUACGUG
rnacentral:rRNA from 1 species